GAUGAACGCUGGCGGCGUGCCUAAUACAUGCAAGUCGAGCGAACAGACGAGGAGCUUGCUCCUCUGACGUUAGCGGCGGACGGGUGAGUAACACGUGGAUAACCUACCUAUAAGACUGGGAUAACUUCGGGAAACCGGAGCUAAUACCGGAUAAUAUAUUGAACAGCAUGGUUCAAUAGUGAAAGACGGUUUUGCUGUCACUUAUAGAUGGAUCCGCGCCGCUUUAGCUAGUUGGUAAGGUAACGGCUUACCAGGGCAACGAUGCGUAGCCGACCUGGGGGGGGGUAGGCCCCCUGAGAAGCUGAAACGCGGCACGGGGACUAAGGGAAGGCACAGGCGGGGAAUGUACGCAAAUGGGGGAAAUCUUGCCGAAGCAGCGCAGGGGGGGUGAGGAAGGUCUGCGAGUGGAAAAACGGUGUAUUGGGGAAGAACAAAUGUGUAAGUAACUAUGCACGUCUUGACGGUACCUAAUCAGAAAGCCACGGCUAACUACGUG
rnacentral:rRNA from 1 species